rnacentral:rRNA from 1 species
UACCAGCACCCCGAGUGGUCGGGACGUUUAUUGGGCCUAAAGCAUCCGUAGCCGGUUCUACAAGUCUUCCGUUAAAUCCAGCUGCUUAACAGAUGGGCUGCGGAAGAUACUAUGGAGCUAGGAGGCGGGAGAGGCAAGCGGGUACUCGAUGGGUAGGGGUAAAAUCCGUUGAUCCAUUGAAGACCACCAGUGGCGAAGGCGGCUGCCAGAACGCGCUCGACGGUGAGGGAUGAAAGCUGGGGGAGCAAACCGGG